rnacentral:tRNA from 1 species
UCUCUUGUAGUAUAGUGGUUAGUAUGCAAGCUUGUCAUCGCCCAUCCAGGAAGCAGCAGCGCUUGAGACCCGGGUUCAAUUCCCGGCGAGAGAG